UAACUACUCCCUCCGUCCGGAAAUACUUGUCAUCAAAAUGGAUAAAAGGAGACAUAUUUUAGUUCUAGAUACAUCCCUUUUCAUCCAUUUUGAUGACAAGUAUUUUUGGACGGAGGGAGUAGAUA
rfam:Triticum aestivum genome assembly, contig: Triticum_aestivum_CS42_TGACv1_scaffold_621858_7DS